GACGAACGCUGGCGGCGUGCUUAAUACAUGCAAGUCAACGACUUUUAGAGUAGCAAUAUUUUAAAAGGAGUGGCGCACGGGUGAGUAACACGUAGGUAAUCUGCCUUCAGGACUGACACAACUCGUCGAAAGACGGGCUAAUAUCGGAUAAUGCAGCGGCUCCGCAUGGAGACAGUUGUUAAAGUACAAGCGCCUGAAGAUGAGCCUGCGGUCCAUUAGCUAGUUGGUAGAGUAACAGCCUACCAAGGCAACGAUGGAUAGCUGGUCUGAGAGGAUGAUCAGCCACACUGGAACUGAGACACGGUCCAGACUCCUACGGGAGGCAGUAGUAAGGAAUAUUGCUCAAUGGCCGAAAGGCUGAAGCAGCAACGCCGCGUGAAGGAUGAAUGGCCUUUGGCCUGUAAACUUCUGUAAAAAGGGAAAACAAUCAGGCAAUGUCCUGAUUUGAUUGUACCUUUGAAGUAAGCCCCGGCUAACUACGUGCCAGCAGCCG
rnacentral:rRNA from 1 species